rnacentral:tRNA from 1 species
GCCUGGUUAGCUCAAUCGGUAGAGCGUGAGACUCUUACGGGUUCACCAUCUCAAGGCUGCGGGUUCGACCCCCGCAUCGGGCU